rnacentral:piRNA from 1 species
UAGUAAUGUUUGAUACUUGAAUGUUGGG